AGCUCCUGCUCCUCCUCCUUUUCUUCGCGCUUUUGCUGUCGGUGGUUUGGUGGCUUCUUUGAAGGCGGCGCUUUUUUGAGGGAAAGUCAUGAUUUGCGUGCAUCCAUUCAAACACCGCAGGAGGCCUCAGCCACGAUGAUGAGUCCAUCUCACUCCGUGAAAGCCAUGUACGUGUCCACCCAAACAUCACAGGAGGCAUCAGUCACGGUGAUGGGUCCAUCUCAAUCAGAGUGAACUUUUCUGUUGGUGUGCUUUGUGUUUGAUCAUCCAAGCAUCACAGGAUGCCUCAUGAUGAUUACACCUUCUCAAACAGGUUUCCAUUUGUCCACCUGAGAAGAUGUGCUGCUUCGUCUUUUCACUGUCCAGUCACAAGGCGAAGAUUUAAAAGUAGUGGAGAAAGCUCUGGAGAACUUCUUGUGCCUUCACAGGAAGACUUGUGUUCUCUGCAUGCUGAUGAUGAUAGACUGUCAAUGUUCAUGGGGGGGAAAAAAAAAUCAUUUGUUUUGUGGUUUACAAUGAAGAAAAAAAAUAAAGGUAACUUGAAAAAUACAAAGCAGAAGC